CCUACGGGGGGCAGCAGUGGGGAAUAUUGCACAAUGGGCGCAAGCCUGAUGCAGUGACGCCGCGUGAGGGAUGAAGGCCUUCGGGUUGUAAACCUCUUUCAGCAGGGAAGAAGCGAAAGUGACGGUACCUGCAGAAGAAGCGCCGGCUAACUACGUGCCAGCAGCCGCGGUAAUACGUAGGGCGCAAGCGUUGUCCGGAAUUAUUGGGCGUAAAGAGCUCGUAGGCGGUUUGUCGCGUCUGCUGUGAAAACCUGAGGCUCAACCUCGGGCUUGCAGUGGGUACGGGCAGACUAGAGUGCGGUAGGGGUGACUGGAAUUCCUGGUGUAGCGGUGGAAUGCGCAGAUAUCAGGAGGAACACCGAUGGCGAAGGCAGGUCACUGGGCCGCAACUGACGCUGAGGAGCGAAAGCAUGGGGAGCGAACAGGAUUAGAUACCCUGGUAGUCCAUGCCGUAAACGUUGGGCACUAGGUGUGGGGCUCAUUCCACGAGUUCCGUGCCGCAGCAAACGCAUUAAGUGCCCCGCCUGGGGAGUACGGCCGCAAGGCUAAAACUCAAAGAAAUUGACGGGGGCCCGCACAAGCGGCGGAGCAUGCGGAUUAAUUCGAUGCAACGCGAAGAACCUUACCAAGGCUUGACAUACACCGGAAAAGUGCAGAGAUGUGCUCCCCGCAAGGUCGGUGUACAGGUGGUGCAUGGUUGUCGUCAGCUCGUGUCGUGAGAUGUUGGGUUAAGUCCCGCAACGAGCGCAACCCUCGUCCUAUGUUGCCAGCGGGUCAUGCCGGGGACUCAUAGGAGACUGCCGGGGCCAACUCGGAGGAGGUGGGGGAUGACGUCAAAUCAUCAUGCUCCUUAUGUCUGGGGCUUCACGCAUGCUACAAUGGGCCGGUACAAAGGGUUGCGAUUACCCCGAGGUGGGAGCGAUCUCAAAAAGGCGGGUCUCAGUUC
rnacentral:rRNA from 1 species